UCACAAAACACACAACAGGAAGUCAACAUCACCAUUAUUAUAGUAUUACACAUCUGUGUGUGUGUGUGUGUGUGUGUGUGUGUGUGUGUGUGUGUGUGUGUGUUGAUCAAUAGUGUGUUUUACAAAAUUAGGAAACGCUGUGAUGAUGUCAUCAUGAGUAAUAUCCAAUGAUGAGCCUUAUUACAACUCAACACACACUCACUAUAAUCUCACACACACACACACACACACACACACACACACACUUCCUGAAAUUCCCCACACCAAGAGGAAAUUAAGUUGUGUAAAUCACAGCUCAUGCAGUAUGGACAUGAUUGGUCUGGUGUAGGUUCUGAAGCAGGAGAUCUCCAUGGAUAGUCAGUCACCUGGAUGAGGAGGUCUGAUGCUGAAAGACCUGAAACUCCAGCAGACUUCAGGAACCUCAGUGAGUAAGCAUCUCAGCAUGCGUCAGCAGGACAUAUUUAAUAAGUUUCUUUCUGGUUCUGGAGUCAGAUCUAGGUCUGUGAAGAUCAAGGGUCGGGAAAGGUGACACUCAGGGUUCUGGAAGGUUAAGCACCAGAGUGACCAUGAUGAAAAACUCAAACAAACUAGGAGCAGACCCUGAAGAACACAACCCAAGGUGAUCCUGAGGGGGGGUGAUUGGGCUGUCGAGAGAUCACCACUUUAUUAAGUCCAUUAACAAACAUGAGUGAGAAAUUCAGAGCAAAGUGUAAAGCUGAGAGCAGGAGACGAGAGCUCAUGGAGAUCAUGAUGUGUAGCAAAGCGAAUCCAAAAGUGCCAUCAAACAGCACCGAGGAAGGAAGUGAAGAUCAACUGAAGCACUAGAGAUCUAGACAGAUACAAAAAGCUCUUGAGAGGAGAAUGUAGCUCUGGCAGGGGCUCCAUCUCCAUGUCUCGAAAAGAGAACAUCCAUGGGCAAGGAAAAACACCACCUCAUUCAGGAUGAGCUCCAAGCAGGUUUGGAUGAAGCCAAAGCUGCAGGAUGGGUGGUGAUCAGACACCAGGAAUAGAGGUGAGAUACUUGUUCCAUGUCUGGUUCCUGAAACAGGCUGUUAAUGUUAGUUUUAUAGACAAAGAAAGAGCAGAACACCAGCUGGAUGAAGACCACUGGAGCAUAUUCUCUGCAGCUGCCCGAAGGCCCUUGGUAAAGGCUGCUGUUGCUGUUGGAACAACCAGAUGUUCACAGCAGUUAUUAAGAUACCGGCUGUGGCCUUCACCGCUGUCUGUAAACGUGCGUAGAGAGUAGCUCGAGAUGCUACCAUACAGGUGGUCAAGGAAGACUGACAGGAGAAGAGCGCGUGGAGGAGGCGUAUGAAAGGAAGGAUAUCAACACCAGGAGUUGUGAAGCAGAAACCAGUAAAAACACUUGCUGUGAACCAGUGACGGUCAACUGCAGGGGCUUUGCAGGUCACUCAGUCUAUGAAGUCAUGAUAAAGAUAAAGAAAGCAGUUGAUCUUCACCCAGGCAUUGUCACCUAGGGGUCUGAAAAUCAAAGACCUGAAUAAUAAUGAGGAAAGAUCUCAGCAUACACCAGUGUCAGGUACAGAUUAUUAUUUUGUUUUUGAUGAUGAUGAUGAUGAUGAUGAAGUCCUCCUGAGUAAAAGUGUGCAUGUAUGGGAUGUUGAAUAAAUCUGAGAAAUUUCACCUUCAUUUGAACCCUGUUUCAUUUCCCUCAUCGCUCUGAACCACGUGAUCAUGUGACAUGUCUGCACGCAAACUGAUAAGAAGUUCAUGCAGCAGAAGAAGAAGAAAAUUAAUAUGAAGAUAGACUUACUGUGGACGUUUCCUGAACUAAAGCAGCAGCUUGCAAUAAAAUCCACAACACAAAACACUGGUUAUAUUAAACCUUUAUAGUCAUUUAAAAACUCAGAGCAGCUAGGCUAAUUAGCAAAUAUGCUAAAUGAGCCAAUAUGUUUAUUCAUUUGUGAGAAUAAUAAAGUGCUGAAGUUUUAUUGAAUCAAAAAAAAAAAAAAAAACCUUCACAAAAUCUAAUUUCAGCAAAAGAAAUGGCUUUCAAACGUCCUGUGUUAUCAGCAUGCUAACCGGCUAACUAGGCUAACUCGUGUGUGUGUGUGUGUGUGUGUGUGUGUGUGUGUGUGUGUGAACAGUGUAGAAGUGUGUUAUAUAAACUGAUAUUAUAGAAAACCUUUUUGGAACAUGUGAAGGAGUUUCAGAAACAUCUCACAAUCCUCAUCUCUUUAUUUCUGUCAGGACAGGAAGUGAACAGGCACAGCUCAACGCUACACACUUUUACACUAUUAAACAAUUUUCUAACACACACACACACACACACACACACACACACACACACACACACCAGGUCUUUAACUUCAAAAAUCCCAUACAGCGUCAAAACGCUCAGUUAAUGAUAAAAAAAAUGUAAGCAAACAAAUAAA